GAUGAACGCUGGCGGCGUGCCUAAUACAUGCAAGUCGAGCGAACGGACGAGAAGCUUGCUUCUCUGAUGUUAGCGGCGGACGGGUGAGUAACACGUGGAUAACCUACCUAUAAGACUGGGAUAACUUCGGGAAACCGGAGCUAAUACCGUAUGAUAUUUUGAACCGCAUGGUUCGAAAGUGAAAGACGGUCUUGCUGUCACUUCUAGCUGGAUCCGCGCUGCAUUAGCUAGUUGGUAAGGUAACGGCUUACCAAGGCAACGAUGCAUAACCGACCUGUCGGGGUGAUCGCCCACACUGGAGCGGAGACACGGUCCAGACGCCUACGGGAGGCAGCAGUAGGGAAUCUGCCGCAGUAGGCGAAAGCAUGACAGAACGGCGCCACGUGAGUUGUGAAGGUCUUCGGUUCGGAAAGCUCUGUUAUUAGUGAGAAACCGAUGUGUAAGUAGCUGUGGAGAUCGUGACGGUACCUAAUCAGAAAGCCACGGCUAACUACGUG
rnacentral:rRNA from 1 species